rnacentral:rRNA from 1 species
GUGUCAGCAGCCGCGGUAAUACAGAGGUCCCGAGCGUUGUUCGGAUUCACUGGGCGUAAAGGGUGCGUAGGUGGUGAUGUAAGUUUGAUGUGAAAUCUCCGGGCUUAACCCGGAAAUGGCAUUGAAUACUACAUUGCUGGAGGAUUGGAGGGGGGACUGGAAUUCUCGGUGUAGCAGUGAAAUGCGUAGAUAUCGAGAGGAACACCAGUGGCGAAGGCGAGUCCCUGGACAAUACCUGACACUGAGGCACGAAAGCUAGGGGAGCAAACAGGAUUAGAAACCCUGGUAGUCC